GCAUAUCAAUAAGCGGAGGAAAAGAAACUAACAAGGAUUCCCCUAGUAACUGCGAGUGAAGCGGGAAAAGCUCAAAUUUGAAAUCUGGCAGUCUUUGGCUGUCCGAGUUGUAAUCUAGAGAAGCGUCACCCGCGCUGGACCGUGUACAAGUCUCCUGGGAUGGAGCGUCAUAGAGGGUGAGAAUCCCGUCUCUGACACGGACUACCAGGGCUUUGUGGUGUGCUCUCAAAGAGUCGAGUUGUUUGGGAAUGCAGCUCUAAAUGGGUGGUAAAUUCCAUCUAAAGCUAAAUAUUGGCGAGAGACCGAUAGCGAACAAGUACCGUGAGGGAAAGAUGAAAAGCACUUUGAAAAGAGAGUUAAAUAGUACGUGAAAUUGUUGAAAGGGAAACGAUUGAAGCCAGUCGUACCGACGGAGGAUCAACCUUUGAAAGCGGGUCGAGGUAUUCGAGGAGUUUAAAAGCCCUCUUGCGCUCACGUACUUCGUUUUCUUUGGUGCACUUCUUCGUAUGGUAGGUUAACAUCAAUUUUGGACGUUACAAAAUGAUCGGGGGAAUGUAGCUUCGAUUUUUUCGAAGUGUUAUAGACCUUGGUAGAUGUGACGACCGGGAUUGAGGAUUGCAACGAAUGCUUUCGGGCUAUCCGUCUGACCUCUGGUGGUUGCUUUAGGGUCGAAAGCGUGCUUACGACUUUAAAGUUGGCUAUCAAAAGGCUAGAACGUGAUUAAAUUCGUUAAGGAUGUUGACGUA
rnacentral:rRNA from 1 species